ensembl:misc_RNA Metazoa_SRP Metazoan signal recognition particle RNA
GCCGGGCAUGGUGGCGCAUGCCUGUAAUCCCAGCUACUCAGGAGGCUGAGGCAGGACAAUCGCUUGAACCCAGGAGGCGGAGGUUGCAGUGAGCCGAGAUGGUGCCACUGCACUUCCAGCCUGGGCAACAGAGCAAGACUCUGUCUCAA